AAGUGGUGGAGCAUGUGGUUUAAUUCGAAGAUACACGAAGAACCUUUACCUGGCCUUGACAUGGUAGGAACCCUUAAGAGAUUAGGGGGUGCUAGCUUGCUAGAACCUACACACAGGUGCUGCACGGCUGUCGUCAGCUCGUGUCGUGAGAUGUUYGGGUUAAGUCCCGCAACGAGCGCAACCCUCGUCGUUAGUUGCUAACAGUUCGGCUGAGCACUCUAACGAGACUGCCUUCGUAAGKWKKAGGAAGGUGMGGACGACGUCAAGUCAUCAUGGCCCUUACGGCCAGGGCUACACACGUGCUACAAUGGGGCGUACAGAGAGUUGCAAUACCGCGAGGUGGAGCCAAUCUCAYAAAGCGUCUCUCAGUUCGGAUUGAAGUSUGCAACUCGACUUCAUGAAGCUGGAAUCACUAGUAAUCGUAGAUCAGCAUUGCUACGGUGAAUACGUUCCCGGGUCUUGUACUCACCGCCCGUCACACCAUGGGAGUUGAUCUCACCCGAAAUUGGGAAGCUAACCUUCGGGAGGCUACCWUAUGMCCAGGAWUAM
rnacentral:rRNA from 1 species